rnacentral:rRNA from 1 species
AUUGAACGCUGGCGGCAUGCCUUACACAUGCAAGUCGAACAGCAGCACGGGGCAACCUGGUGGCGAGUGGCGAACGGGUGAGUAAUGCAUCGGAACGUACCUUUCAGUGGGGGAUAACGUAGCGAAAGUUACGCUAAUACCGCAUAUUCUGUGAGCAGGAAAGCAGGGGAUCGCAAGACCUUGCGCUGAUUGAGCGGCCGAUGUCAGAUUAGCUAGUUGGUGAGGUAAAGGCUCACCAAGGCGACGAUCUGUAGCGGGUCUGAGAGGAUGACCCGCCACACUGGAACUGAGACACGGUCCAGACUCCUACGGGAGGCAGCAGUGGGGAAUUUUGGACAAUGGGGGCAACCCUGAUCCAGCCAUGCCGCGUGAGUGAAGAAGGCCUUCGGGUUGUAAAGCUCUUUCGGCCGGGAAGAAAUCGCACGGGCUAAUACCCUGUGUGGAUGACGGUACCGGAAUAAGAAGCACCGGCUAACUACGUGCCAGCAGCCGCUGUAAAAC